GCCUAACACAUGCAAGUCGCGCGCGAAAGGGGGGCAACCCCCAAGUAGAGCGGCGCACGGGUGAGUAACGCGUGGGUGAUCUGCCUCCGAGUGGGGAAUAACAGCGGGAAACUGCUGCUAAUACCGCAUGACAUCCUCGAGUCGCAUCGGGGAUCAAAGCCGGGGACCGCAAGGCCUGGCGCUUGGAGAUGAGCCCGCGUCCGAUUAGCUAGUUGGCGGGGUAAUGGCCCACCAAGGCUUCGAUCGGUAGCCGGCCUGAGAGGGCGGACGGCCACACUGGGACUGAGACACGGCCCAGACUCCUACGGGAGGCAGCAGUGGGGAAUUUUUCGCAAUGGGGGAAACCCUGACGAAGCAACGCCGCGUGGAGGAUGAAGGCCUUCGGGUCGUAAACUCCUGUCGACUGGGAAGAAUGCACCUGACCUAAUACGUCGGAGUGUUGACUGUACCGGUGGAGGAAGCCACGGCUAACUCUGUGCCAGCAGCCGCGGUAAUACAGAGGUGGCAAGCGUUGUUCGGAAUUACUGGGCGUAAAGGGCGCGUAGGCGGCCCGCCAAGUCCCGUGUGAAAGCCCCCGGCUCAACCGGGGAACGGCGCGGGAAACUAGCAGGCUUGAGUUCGGGAGAGGGAAGCGGAAUUCCGGGUGUAGCGGUGAAAUGCGCAGAUAUCCGGAGGAACACCGGUGGCGAAGGCGGCUUCCUGGACCGACACUGACGCUGAGGCGCGAAAGCUA
rnacentral:rRNA from 1 species